rnacentral:rRNA from 2 species
CUAAAAGAAGAUUAGUGUCUGCUUGCAGAAACUUGCAUACAGGUGCUGCACGGCUGUCGUCAGCUCGUGUCGUGAGAUGUUGGGUUAAGUCCCGCAACGAGCGCAACCCUCGUCCUUAGUUGCUAACAGUUCGGCUGAGAACUCUAAGGAGACUGCCUACGCAAGUAGGAGGAAGGUGAGGAUGACGUCAAGUCAUCAUGGCCCUUACGUCCAGGGCUACACACGUGCUACAAUGGGGUAUACAAAGAGCAGCAAUACGGUGACGUGGAGCAAAUCUCAAAAAUGCCUCCCAGUUCGGAUUGUAGUCUGCAACUCGACUACAUGAAGUUGGAAUCGCUAGUAAUCGUAGAUCAGCUAUGCUACGGUGAAUACGA